rnacentral:ncRNA from 1 species
CCUGUGGACCGUUACACAAACGAAAGUAGUCUAAAGGCGAAUACGUUUUUUGACAAAAUCGGAUGGGAUGAAGCAGGAA